rnacentral:rRNA from 1 species
CCUACGGGUGGCAGCAGUCGAGAAUCAUUCACAAUGGGGGAAACCCUGAUGGUGCGACGCCGCGUGGGGGAAUGAAGGUCUUCGGAUUGUAAACCCCUGUCAUGUGGGAGCAAAUUAAAAAGAUAGUACCACAAGAGGAAGAGACGGCUAACUCUGUGCCAGCAGCCGCGGUAAUACAGAGGUCUCAAGCGUUGUUCGGAAUCACUGGGCGUAAAGCGUGCGUAGGCUGUUUCGUAAGUCGUGUGUGAAAGGCGCGGGCUCAACCCGCGGACGGCACAUGAUACUGCGGGACUAGAGUAAGGGAGGGGGAACCGGAAUUCUCGGUGUAGCAGUGAAAUGCGUAGAUAUCGAGAGGAACACUCGUGGCGAAGGCGGGUUCCUGGACAUUAACUGACGCUGAGGCACGAAGGCCAGGGGAGCGAAAGGGAUUAGAUACCCCAGUAGUC